AUGAGGGCCUGGCCACUCUCCGGUACUCUCCCAUAUUAUUUCUCCCAGACUCUUGGCAGUGAUUCCUACUCAAUUCCAGCUGUCAGGAUUCUCUCCCACCAAGAGGAAUGGCCUGCCCUGCAGAUCUCACGCCCACCAGCUGGUCCAGGGAGAACAGGGCCGAUUCCUGCGGCGUUCGAGAGGGGCCCUACAGGAGUGAAUGAGGCCCUGCAGGGAGCAGCUGGUGAGGAUGCCCAGGACCUGCAGGCAGGAGACCAAGAGAGUGCUCCAGUUCGGCAGCUAGCCUCCUUCAGUUCCUCCAGCUCCCCUGGCCUCACCCAAUGGAGCCCAUCAGCAGUGGGGGCCAUAGAUGAACUCCCACACCUCAGUAUUCCUCUCUCCAGGAAGAACAACUAUUAAUCUGGCUUGCCUCCCCUAGAGGUCUUGAAUGAGGAUCCAGAGUUAUCACAGGUGGAAAAGAACCCUAGGGAGCAGUAUUGUGAAUUAUAGGAAAUAUUUCACUUGCAGAGAAGAUGCUGGUCCUCCAGCUACAGGAGCACCGGCAUGCACAUCCUUUUACUGACUUCUGACCCAUUCAGGGUUUGCAGUUUGGUAGGGGCAAGGUCUGGAGGGCUGCUGUUGGCUGGAAAAGAAAAGGAAGGACAACAGGCCACAAAGAAACAGACCACACCUCAGUCCUUUUGGCUUUAGCUCCUGAGUUCAGCUUGUGGGCUACUGAAAACCACCUUUCUACACACUGAUUCCUCAGGUUUGUGAAGCCAGGCCAGGUAGGUCAUUCUGUGGCUCAGCUUGCUCGCCUUCAAAGGGAAUUCAGAUUAUAAUUCCAUAGAAAAGGGCACAGAGAUUGAAAAUGGGGAAAAUUCAUUCCCAAGGAGACCUGCAGAUCACAACUUUAGUAAGAUCACUGCUGGAGAAUGUGUUCUUUUAAGAGAUGGUACUAGCUCUAUGUAGAAAAUUAAUGCAAAAAAAAAAAAAUUCAUGACCAUACUCUAAAGUCCCAC
rnacentral:lncRNA from 1 species